rnacentral:rRNA from 1 species
GACGAACGCGGGCGGCGUGCCUAAUACAUGCAAGUAGAACGCUGAAGAGAGGAGCUUGCUCUUCUGGAUGAGUUGCGAACGGGUGAGUAACGCGUAGGUAACCUGCCUGGUAGCGGGGGACAACUAUUGGAAACGAUAGCUAAUACCGCAUAAAAUUGAUUAUUGCAUGAUAAUUAAUUGAAAGAUGCAAUUGCAUCACUACCAGAUGGACCUGCGUUGUAUUAGCUAGUUGGUGAGGUAACGGCUCACCAAGGCGACGAUACAUAGCCGACCUGAGAGGGUGAUCGGCCACACUGGGACUGAGACACGGCCCAGACUCCUACGGGAGGCAGCAGUAGGGAAUCUUCGGCAAUGGGGGGAACCCUGACCGAGCAACGCCGCGUGAGUGAAGAAGGUUUUCGGAUCGUAAAGCUCUGUUGUAAGAGAAGAACGGGUGUGAGAGUGGAAAGUUCACACUGUGACG